rnacentral:rRNA from 1 species
AGGUUACUGCUAUCGGUGUUCGCCUAAGCCAUGCGAGUCAUAUGUUCUUCGUGAACAUGGCGUACUGCUCAGUAACACGUGGAUAACCUGCCCUUGGGUCCGGCAUAACCCCGGGAAACUGGGGAUAAUUCCGGAUAACGCACAUAUGCUGGAAUGCUUUAUGCGUCAAAUGGAUUCGUCCGCCCAAGGAUGGGUCUGCGGCCCAUCAGGUAGUAGUGGGUGUAAUGUACCUACUAGCCUACGACGGGUACGGGUUGUGAGAGCAAGAGCCCGGAGAUGGAUUCUGAGACAUGAAUCCAGGCCCUACGGGGCGCAGCAGGCGCGAAAACUUUACAAUGCGGGAAACCGUGAUAAGGGGACACCGAGUGCCAGCAUCAUAUGCUGGCUGUCCGGGUGUGUAAAAUACACCUGUUAGCAAGGGCCGGGCAAGACCGGUGCCAGCCGCCGCGGUAACACCGGCGGCCCGAGUGGUGAUCGUGAUUAUUGGGUCUAAAGGGUCCGUAGCCGGUUUGGUCAGUCCUCCGGGAAAUCUGACGGCUUAACCGUUAGGCUUUCGGGGGAUACUGCCAGACUUGGAACCGGGAGAGGUAAGAGGUACUACAGGGGUAGGAGUGAAAUCUUGUAAUCCCUGUGGGACCACCUGUGGCGAAGGCGUCUUACCAGAACGGGUUCGACGGUGAGGGACGAAAGCUGGGGGCACGAACCGGAUUAGAUACCCGGGUAGUCCCAGCUGUAAACGAUACUCGCUAGGUGUCAGGCAUGGCGCGACCGUGUCUGGUGCCGCAGGGAAGCCGUGAAGCGAGCCACCUGGGAAGUACGGCCGCAAGGCUGAAACUUAA